AGUGAACGCUGGCGGUAGGCCUAGCACAUGCCAGUCGAACGGCAGCACAGUAAGAGCUUGCUCUUACGGGUGGCGAGUGGCGGACGGGUGAGGAAUACAUCGGAAUCUACUUUUUCGUGGGGGAUAACGUAGGGAAACUUACGCUAAUACCGCAUACGACCUACGGGUGAAAGCAGGGGAUCUUCGGACCUUGCGCGAUUGAAUGAGCCGAUGUCGGAUUAGCUAGUUGGCGGGGUAAAGGCCCACCAAGGCGACGAUCCGUAGCUGGUCUGAGAGGAUGAUCAGCCACACUGGAACUGAGACACGGUCCAGACUCCUACGGGAGGCAGCAGUGGGGAAUAUUGGACAAUGGGCGCAAGCCUGAUCCAGCCAUACCGCGUGGGUGAAGAAGGCCUUCGGGUUGUAAAGCCCUUUUGUUGGGAAAGAAAAGCAGCAGGUUAAUACCCCGCUGUUCUGACGGUACCCAAAGGAUAAGCACCGGCUAACUUCGCG
rnacentral:rRNA from 1 species